GCCGCGGAUGUGUUUCCCCUCCACAGUCCAAUGACAUGCGGUGUAGCUGAAUUGGAUUGGGACCAAUAUUGCUGAGUAUCUUCAUCCAUUGAAUUCAAGAAUCUAUUGAGUUUCCUCAUGUUCUCGUCCUUGGAGACCACCACUUCUUUCAAGCCUUUGCUCACGUGCUGUGCUAUUUAUUAUUGCAAAGUACAUUACUUGCUAAAGUGGACGUUUGCUAUAAAGCAUUCUACAUCUUUGGUGUGAACUACCCCAAGCAGUGUUCCCUGGUGUGGCAGACUGUGGUUUAUGGACAUCCUGGGGAGGAGACACUAGCAGUAAGGGUUCUGCUAGCAUUAAUUUUUGCUGACAAACAGUAAUCAUUAAUACUGCGACCUCACUGCUUCAUUGGAUUCUGUGUUCUUUAACUUGUACUUUGGAUUGUGGGGGAAAAGGAGCACCCAGAGAAAAUUGAUGUUUGCACAUAAUUGUUAAAGGGAAAGUUAUAAAAUGUUUUCUUAUUUUUUCUUAAUAUAAAAUUUGUAUUUUCUUAGUUUUUAUUGUUUGUUUUGUUUUUUCAAGCUGUUUGAUGCCUUUUUAUUAUUACUUUCACAUAUUUUUUUCUGCAUUGCAGUUGAUGAUUUAUAUGAGAAUAUGUUAAUGUUUGUGCUCAAAUUUGUAUUUUGAAGUUACUUUCUGACUUCAGUCAUUUAGAUGCAUUUUCAUUAUUACUUCCUUAUACUAUUGUUUUUCUCUACUCUGCAAUAACAUUGCAAUUGCCUCUUACUGA